AGAUUGGGUCCCCUGUCUGGUAUUGCCUCCACAUGCAACCGUGCAUAAUAGACAUCUACAAGGUUUCCCUGGAGUUACGGCGGGCAACGCUCACAUCCCCACCCAUUGACGCUGGAUUUGGCCAUGUGGUUUGUUUGGCCAGUGAGCUAUUAGCAGAUACGAUGCAGACAGAAGCUGGAAAUGCACUUGCCCUUCUGCCAUCAGGUAGCUCUUCCCCUCCAGCCCAGACCCCAGAAUGAGACAUGUGGAACAGACGUGACCCACACCUGCAGCCUGCAGCCAAGCCCCACUGAACACAGCUGAGAUCAGCACAAGACUGACCCACCUGCAGACCCCUGAACGAGAAAAUAAAGGUGUGUUAUCACUGGUUGCUGAAAUGCCG
rnacentral:lncRNA from 13 species